AGAGUUUGAUCAUGGCUCAGAACGAACGCUGGCGGCAGGCUUAACACAUGCAAGUCGAACGGCUGUAGCAAUACAGCAGUGGCAGACGGGUGAGUAACACGUGGGAACCUUCCUAGGGGUACGGAACAACUCAGGGAAACUUGAGCUAAUACCGUAUACGUCCGUAAGGAGAAAGAUUCAUCGCCCCUAGACGGGCCCGCGUCGGAUUAGGUAGUUGGUGGGGUAACGGCCUACCAAGCCUGCGAUCCGUAGCUGAUCUGAGAGGAUGAUCAGCCACACUGGGACUGAGACACGGCCCAGACUCCUACGGGAGGCAGCAGUGGGGAAUCUUGGACAAUGGGCGCAAGCCUGAUCCAGCCAUGCCGCGUGAGUGAAGAAGGCCUUAGGGUUGUAAAGCUCUUUUACCAGGGACGAUAAUGACGGUACCUGAGAAUAGC
rnacentral:rRNA from 1 species